rnacentral:sRNA from 1 species
GGACCGAUGGAUGAGAUUUCUUAUUACUCAUCAUCCUAAUUAGCAUGUGUGAACUUUGUCAUACAGAUUAGUGAAAAAUAAUAUCUUGAUAUGGUUAUGAUGUGCAUAUUUGUGAUUACUAAGGAUGGUGAACUUUUCCUUAAAUGAAAACAUCAUUUCAUGGUCAAUUACGGGUAAUUAAAGGAAGAAAUUUGUCUUUGAAUACCAAAAAGAUACACGAUUUAGAGAGUCAUUCCAAAGAAAAAAACCUAUACUACUUGGGACAUCUAACGUAUGCUCUUCUUCAGAGUCGUUGAAAGAAUGAUGCAGUACCCUGUUUUCUGCCACACCAUAUUACACACGAGUCAUCACAAUUGUUAAAGAUCAAUGAGAAUCGUCUGAAGCUGCCUGAGAGAAAUAAUGGAUGGUGAGAAAUGUUUUGCUUUCCCUCCAUGGAAACUAAGAUUCUAUUGCAUCUAUGGGAGCCAGUCAGUAGACCUUUGACAGAAAGUAAGUCAUAAAAGCACUGUACAGUAUACAUACCUCCAGUGAGAGAAAAUGUAAUGAAACUACAAGAACCAAAGUUCCUUUUGAUUUAAACUUUGCCUGCUGGCAAACAUAAAGGCACAUCCACAUUCUUUAUGUUACUGUGGUUGCUAGAGCAAAAUGCAGUGCUUUGCCUUUUAUUUUUGCAAGUGUUGGAUUUCAUCCUUAGAACCACGCGUUUGCAAUUAUAUUGAUAUAUAAGGCCUAUCAUUUUAUCUUAACAUUGUUUUCUUCAGAUAAAUAUUUACAAAUACAUACUAAAGAAAGUUUUGCUUUUAAAAAUAGUGACAAAAAGAAUUCAGGGUUAUUACAGAGAUUAAGAAAUAAUGAGUCGGGGUUGGGUAUUUUGCUCAGUGGUAGAGUG